AUCUGUACCAACAUGUUAUUGCGCUAGAAUAUUUCAUCUCCCUAUGUUUCCAUUGAGAAGGCAAGGCAAGGAACUUCUUUUGCGCUGAAUAAAGAGAAGAAGGAAAGGAACUAGAUUCUCUACUGAAUAACAUAUUCCUGUCUGGGAGGAGAUGCAUGGCCACACUGGAAAUACGUUUCUGUAUGUAACUUGUGGGAGUGCAGGUAGCUCCAGCUACUCUUCCUCCUGAGAAGAACUCAAGACAACCAGCUGCUGUGGUUAGCAACCCAAGUUUAGCAUGUAACUUC